GCACGCACAGGGGGAGACAGCCCGUGUCACUGCCCCACCCCCCCAACGGCCAUUGGCUCCCCCAUCGCCCUGCUCCCCGCCCGGCCCGAGGGGGGCACACACCCAUGGAGACUACAGCUCCCAGCAUGCAUCGGCCUAGAACGCCCUGCGCUACGGCACCUGACUUCCGCCGCCCUGCUGGGAACACGUGACCGGAAGGGCGCCGCCUCUUGGGAAAGGUCACUGGGCUGAGGGCGGGGUGAGCGCGAGGCGUCCGACCCGGAACUGCCGCCGACCCCCGUCUCCGAGACGCUUCCUCUCGCAGCCGCGCCCGGCAGGAGGGGACGAGCAUGGGCUCCGCCAAGCAGCUCGCGGACUUUGGGUAUAAGGCCUUCUCCGGCUCCAUGAUGCUUCUGACCGUCUACGGGGGCUAUCUCUGCAGCGCCAGGGUUUACCGCUACUUCCAGCGCCAGAAAGCCCUGAAGCAGCUUGAACAGAACCAGCUAAACACAGGGGCCAUUGAGGACUGAGUCCUGCUCUCUGCCUGGCUGCAUGGCCAGAGGCUAUGUUGAGAUUACUCCUGCUGCAGUAAUCAGGUAGCACGUGCAACCCUUCCCGAUCACAAAUGAGGGCUAGCUUAGAUCACUUGGGGUUUUCCUCAGGCACACUAAGGUGUCUUGAGUUUUUCUGCACUAAUGAGACGUUACAAAGUACCUCUGCGUAAGCAUCUGUUUUGAUCAUGUGAUUAAAUAUUUUACUUAUUUCUCCUCUUGUCAGUAUGUGACUAGAACCACCUGAGUGGAGGAGUAAGUCAGUUAAAUCAACAUCAAUACACAAUUUUACUAAAAACCCCUCACAGGGGGGAUGUCUGCCUUGAUGCCAUUCUUCUAAAAUUCUCCACUUCCAGGCCAGCAAACUGAAUAGCUGCAGGUUGAGGGAGACUGAGGGCUUGUCUACACUUAAAAACACUGUAGCUGUAUCUCUAUAAUGCUUCAAUGGAGACAUUACCUACACUAAUUGGAGGGGUUCUCCAGGCAGCAUAGGUAAUCCACCUGAGAGGCAGUAGCUAGGUUAAUAGGGCUAUGUCUCAACUACUGCAGUAAGUUGACCUAUGCUACGCCUGAAUAACGUAGCUGGAGUCGACAUAGACUCGUAGAACUGGAAGGGACCUCGAGAGGUCAUCUAGUCCAGUCCCCUGCACUCAAGGCAGGACUAAGUAUUAUCUAGACCAUCCCUGACAGGUGUUUGUCCAACCUGUUCUUAAAAAUCCCCAAUGAUGGAGAUUCCACAAUCUCCCUAGGCAAUUUAUUCCAGUGCUUAACUACUCUGUCCCUUAGGAAGUUUUUCCUAAUGUCCAACCUAAAGUGCCCUUGCUGUGAUUUAAGCCCAUUGCUUCUUGUUCUUAACCUCUGAGGAUAGGACAAUAAUUUUUCUCCCUCCUUGCAACAACCUUUUAUGUACUUGAAAACUGUUAUUAUGUCCCCUCUGUCUUCUCUUCUCCAGACUAAACAAAACCAAUUUUUCCCUCAUAGGUUAUGUUUUCUAGACCUUUAAUAAUUUUUGUUGCUCUUCUCUGGACUUUCUCCAAAUUGACCACAUCUUUCCUGAAAUGUGGUGCCCAGAACUGAACACAAUACUCCAGUUGAGGCCUAAUUAGAGCAGAGUAGAAGAAUUACUUCUCAUGUCUUGCUUAUAACACUCCUGCUAAUACAUCCCAGAAUGAUGUUUGCUUUUUCUGCAACAGCAUUACACUGUUGACCCAUAUUUAGCUUAGCAACUACGACCCCCCAGAGCCCUUUCCACAGUACUUCUUCCUACGCAGUUAUUUUCUAUUUUGUAUGUGUGCAACUGAUUGUUCCUUCCUAAGUGGAGUACUUUGCAUUUGUCCUAAUUACUUCAGACCAUUUCUCCAGAUCAUUUUGAAAAUAAUUGCUAAUGGCUCAUAUCUCCUCCUUAAGUAUUCUAGGAUGCAUUUCAUCAGGCCCUGGUGAUUUGAAGACAUCUAACUUGUCUAAGUAAUUUUUGACUUGUUCUUUCCCUAUUUUAGACUCUAAUCCUACCUCAUUUUCACUGGCAUUCACUAUGCUAGAUGUCCAAUUGCCACCAACCUUCUUGGUGAAAACCAAAACAAAGAAGUUUUUAAGCAGCUUUGCCAUUUCCACAUUUUCUUUGUCUUUGCCUCCUCAUUGAGUAAUGGGCCUACUCUGUCCUUGGUCUUCCUCUUGCUUCUAAUGUCUUCGUAAAAUGUUUUCUUGCUUCCUUUUAUGUCCCUAGCUAGUUUGAUCUCAUUUUGUGCCUUGGCUUUUCUAAUUUUGUCCCUACAUACUUUGUUUAUAGUCAUCCUUUAAGAAAAGGAGUACUUGUGGCACCUUAGAGACUAACAAAUUUAUUUGAGCAUAAGCUUUUGUGAGCUACAGCUCACUUCAUCAGAUGCAUUCAGUGGAAACUCUGAAACCAGUCAUCCUUUGUAAUUUGACCAAAUUUCCACUUUUUGUAGGAUUCUCUUUUGAGUUUUAGAUCAUUGAAGAUCUCCUGGUUAAGCAGGGUGAUCUCUUGCCAUACUUCCUAUCUUUCCUGUGCAGUAGGAUAAUUUCCUCUUGUGCCCUUAAUAAUGUCUCUUUGAAAAACUGCCAAUUGUCGUUCAAUUGUUUUUUCCCCUUAGACUUGCUUCCCAUGGGAUUUUACCUACCAACUCCCUGAGUUUGCUAAAGUCUGCCUUCUUGAAAUCCAUUGUCUUUAUUGUACUGUUCUCCCUCCUACUAUUCCUUAGAAUCAUGAACUCUACCAUUUCAUGAUCACUUUCUUCCCAGUUGCUUUCCACUUUCAAAUUCUCAACCAGUUCCUCCCUGUCUGUCAAAAUCAAAUCUAGAACGGCCUCCCCCCCCUUAGCUUUCUCCACCUUCUGAAAAAGUCUCCAAUACAUUCCAAGAACUUGCUAGAUAAGCUGUGUCCUGCUGUGUUGUUUUCCCCAACAGCUGUCUGGGUAGGUCAAGUUACUGCAGGGUCUGCACAGUGCGGGGGUCGACGGGAGAAAUUUUCCCACCGACUUACCUUACUCUUCUCAUCAGACAGAGUACAGGGGUCAACUUGAGAGCGAUCUGCUGUCGAUUUGGUGGGUGUUCACUAGAUCCAUUAAAUCAAUCUCAGAGAGUGGAGUCUGGCUGUACUGUAGAUGUAGCCUAGGAGAAUUCUCCCAUUGACCUAGCAUUGUCUACACCAGGAGUUAAGUCAGUUUAACUGCAUUGCUUGGGGGUGUAGAUUUUUCACACUGCUGAGUGAGUUAUACCGACCUAAUUUCCUAGUGUAGACUCAAACUGAGGAAGUGGAGAACAAAUUUCUGGGACAGCUUUGGACUGAGUCCUGCUUCCAAGCAUAUUAGAUUUUGUAAAGUCUUCCAGUCACCAAAUGAUCCAGAAAUGCAUGAAUUUAACAGUUGUGUGUCCUCCUCCCCAUGGCCAGACGCUCACUUCCACAAGCUUAGAGUUUCAUUUCAAUGUUAGACGGUUCUGGGGACAGGCUUGAGAUUAAAAGUAGAAAAUAGACUAAGCAAAUUCUUACAAGAACUUCCCUUUAGUUGAAAAAAUUAUGGACAGUGGAGUUUGCUGUAGAUUCUGAUCUCAACACCAAGCCUAACAGACAGAGGGCUUGGUGCAGUCAACUUUGCUUUGGACUGUUUUAUCUCAAUGCUACUAGAGUAACAGUGCUAUAAAACAGGUAAGCCACAGCUGCUAGUUCCUCUUAUUAACUUUAGAGUUUCCUUAAUAGUAAUUGCACGAUGUGUAAGUAUUUCUCUAAAGACAGUAUGAAGUGGAAGUAGGUUUGGCAAAGGCUACUUGGAAAAGUAUUUGGCCAUACUAGACAUGGUAAUGGAAAUGCAGCAGAGACUGAGUGGAACAGCUAAGAUGAUGAAGGAUACAGGGAUUUAGGAUAAAACUUGUAUGAAGAGUCAAAGAAAAUGAAAGCUAGAUUAACUGCCUUGAAUGGAUGAACUAAAACUACUCUGAGAAAAAAAAGUAUUAGAUAUUUGCUUUAAAAAACUACUCAAAUUUGAACUCUACAUUAAUAUACGUUUGAUACCCAGUACACGGGUUCUCUCGCUACAGAUGUAUGUGAGUAGAACACAGUGAAAGUUCAGUGAGGUACACUAACUCUGGGGCAAUUUAGGGACAUUGAAUAGAAGUUAUUGGAGCUAGGGAUAAUGAAAAUAUUCAUGGAGGUAAUGUGUCCAGCUUUGCACACAGUGAAUAAUUUUACAAAUGUUUGAAGAGCCUGUCACUUGAUUAAAGCUCAUUUGACCUAUAGUCAGAGCAUCAUAGCUGGCACUUAAGUGAAGCACUGAAUCUUAAACAGUAUUCUCUCUCAUUUGAGACAGCAGUCCCUACUCGCACCAUGCUGCCUCGGGGGGGUUCACUAGUUCAAGAGCAAUUCAACAAGAAGAGCAAUACUACAACUUUCUGCAGUGUAUAGGAGUUCUUACUUAUAUGCUAAACUUGCUCAAUACAUCAAGGUGAGAAAUGCAGAAAAAAUGCAAGUCAAACAAAUUUCUGAAGCUUUUUUUAAUCAGAUAAGAGUAAACAAUUGUAUAAAAUAACUCAAAUUUCUGAAGUUCUGCACAUGAUUAUGACACUCAGGUGUCUUCCAUUGCCCCUGAAGUACCAUUGAGUAAAGAAAGAAGCGAAGCCUCUGCUGUCCUGAUUUCUGAAAUCAGUGGUGUGGAGAGGCAGCUGCAGCAAUGCUCACUUCUGUCUUUAAAAACACACAGGCAGGGCUGUAACCUCUGCCUGUGUGGAAAGUUAAUAUAACCCACGAGCAUUGCUCCAUCUUUGGCUAAUGUCCUGUCUUAUAAAUCUAACCAACCAUAGCCUGUAACUCCUGUAAAAAAGUCUUCAAAUUCACAUGAGUUGCAGGUAUGCAUGUGCUGUGAUAUUUCUCUAAAUUAGGGUCAGGAGUGCAACAUUUUUUAGGUUGUAUUUAAGACUUUGGAUGGGCAGCAAAUACCACUUGGUCCGUCUUAACAGCACAGAUUAUAAAUUAUACUCUCUUUAGCACAUAGCAUACCAAUGGCAAGUUAAAACACACUUUGUCCAUCACAAUCUGAUUCAAUGCAUGGCUGUAACACAGAGUCACAGCAGGACUGAUAAUUUAUAAAUGAUUUAAAAAACCCUCUGUGCUACAGCUUACAGCAUGAUGUAUCUGGGUGAUACUAGACCACAUAAUCUAAAUGGAUCCUGGAGUGCAGCAAGAAAACAUACUGAACUUGCACUGGGUCAAGAAACAUUUUUGGAAUGGUACCUUAACCAGUCCACAGUCAAUGUCCAUCCCAGCCCAAACUCAUUCCAUCAAGCUUGAGUUGAUCCUAGUAAAAACCAGUUUGUCACACAAAAAUACUUCGCAAAUAAUAUUAGAGAUGGGCCUAUUAAAUACAAAAUGGCUUAUAUUCUUAAAAAAAAGUUAAAUUUGCAUCUGUUUUUGCAUUAGUAAUUGGCUCGGUUCGGUCCCUUCUGUGGUGUGAAACCUUAGACUGGUCUGGAGUGUGCCCAUCUCAGAGUUGAUGGAUGUUUUUUGAGGGAAGGGGUAUCUUGAUUAAAGAUCACUUAGGAAUGUGGAGUGCAACACAUCUAGAUAUUUAGACACAAGUCCGUGUUUGCUGGAGGCCUCUCCCAGCGUUACUCCUCUUCUGCCCAUUGGGUACUAGCCACAUGACCAUUAAUCCGAUUGGCACCAUUGCUUGAAGUGCUGAAGAUUCCUUUUGUGCUAUUUGAAGUCAUGUCGUCCUCUUCAGAACUGCUCUCUACAUCACUGCGAUCAUCUUUUGAUACCUGAAAGUUUAAAAUCAAAGGUAGAGGUGGAAGAAAGAUUACAAAUUCAUAGGGAACAGCUAUUCGAGAGGUCUUGUCUAUCUGAUCAGUUUCCCCCGUAUUAGAUUCUUUGAAUUAUUUAAAGUUGAACCCCACAAGUGGGACCUUCCAACCACAUAUAGGGAGCAUGGUACAGAAUUCAGAACAGGGGACCAAGUCAAGAGAUGAUGAUGUUGUACAGCUUUGGCCAAGCUAACUUUUGCACUUCCAAUUCAGUAUUAUAGCUCUCUUCACAUGGGUGUGUUGGUGAAGUGAUUUCAGAUCCAUGGAAGGAGCCCAUAGCAAUAUAUCACUGUUUGAUCCUUCUUCCAGUAACUAAAUUAUAGCACAGAUUAUAAAGGAUGCCUUUCCAAAUGGCAAAUUAGAAAUAUUUGUUUUAAUACUAAAUUAUGAGUUACCAGCUUGUUCAGACACCUUUUGGUAAUCAGCAGGAGGUGGGAAGAAGCAUCAGUUUUAGUUUCUAAAACCGAUGAAGUGAGCUGUAGCUCACGAAAGCUCAUGCUCAAAUAAAUUGGUUAGUCUCUAAGGUGCCACAAGUCCUCCUUUUCUUUUUGCGAAUACAGACUAACACGGCUGUUACUCUGAAACCAGUUUCUAAAGGGAUGAGUUUGUUUUUAAGGUUUGCUCAAAAGAGUACUGAUGUUUUAUUUCAAAAAGGAACUGGUCCCAUUUAGCACAUCACCAUUUGCAUAAGAUGAUUCCCUCUUUAGAGCCUGUUUACAGAGAACUACACGGUGGGUUAGUUAUCUAAGGCAUCAGUUCCCAAACGUUAUUGAUUCAUGCACCAUCUUUGUGAAAAGUUAUUGUGAAGUGCGCUGAUAGAACGUCAAGCGCAUGUACCACCAGCGGUAUCUUGACCACAUUUUGGAAACCCCUCUUCUCAGGAAUGGGUGUACACAUCUAACUCUUAAUUUGUGAGCCAAGAUACAUUUGAAUGGUGGUCUGUAGAAGGGAAAGGUUAAUUUACAGUCAUGCAGAUGACACUAGGAAUGCAGAAAGCAUCUAUAACCAGAAAGCCUUUAUAAUUUACAUCUCUACAGAUGGCCACUCUUAGGUCUUAUCAUAGGAUCUGUCUAGUUUGCAUGUGAAGCUUAGAAUCCUCCAAAAUCUCUCUCCGUGUUUUACAAGGUAUUGGCCAGGGAGAGAGUGAUGUACGAUUUCAGAACAAAAGGAGUAUUUGUGGCACCUGUGCCUAACAAAUUUGUUAGUCUCUAAGGUGCCACAAAUACUCCUUUUUUUUGCGAAUACAGACUAACACAGCUGCUACUCUGAAACCUGAAAUGUCAGGUUUCAAAGUCUGAAGACUAGAGAAGUCAACCAUGCAAUUUCAUGGUCUCCUUAAAGUUUACCACCAGGGGGCAGUGUAUCAUCAGUAUAAUGCCAAAUGAUACAUGACAGUGUGAAAGAGAAGGUGGGUGAUGAAAUAUCUUUUAUUGGACUGACUGCUGUUGGUGAAAGAAACAAGCUUUCGAGCUCCACAGAGAUGACCAGACCUGAUGAGCAGCUCUGUGGAGCUCAAGCGCUUGUCUCUUUCACCAACAGCAGUCAGUCCAAUAAAGGAUUAUCUCAUCCACCUUGUCUCACACAUCCUGGGACCAAUACAGCUACAACACUGCAAACAACAAUGCGAAAAGCUCACUAACUCAGAUUUAAUCAUACACAAGUAACCCAGUAACUGGUUAAAUGCCACGGCUAUAAAGGCAUGGGUGCUGCAAGAGGUGAGCUGUCUCCCUAUUUCCCCAUUGCCUGUAUAGAGCACUUCCCUACCCUUGCACAGCCCAAGACAAGCUCCAUGUACCUGUGAGUCUGGAACUAACAGCCCCCAAGUAUACAGUGGGCAAGCAGUUUCUCAGUGACUAACACAUUCCAGCAAAGUUCAGGAUCAGGAUCAGCCCUGCCUACUCUGAGUUGGCAUACAGACUCAAAACAGACUUAGAGAGCAAGUUUCCUGACAAAUGGAAAAAUCUGGCAGAAAGCCAGUGCCAGUUAAUGAUUUCCAGGCUGGGUUUCGACAGGCCAGCUGCAUGUGCAAACUUAAUCUAGGAGGUGCCGAAACCCCUCUGCAGCCGGAGGUUCCCUAUCUUCCCCUACCAUACCCCAUUUUAGCAAUUCAACUGGCCAGGGAAAGGAAACAGAAGCCCCUAGAUAUUAUUCUGCUUUAGUCCCACAGUCAUUUGAGAAAAGUAUUUUUUCCACCAUCUGGUUUUUCUUAAGUGAGAACUAAAGAUAAUUCUGUGUGUUGCUAUAGCCCCCUCCAUCCAUAGAUCUCCUCAGUGUUACAGUGCACUGAAACAGUAUCCCCUUUUUAUACACUGGCCAACGACAGUCACACAGCUAGUCUGCGGCAGAGUUGGGAACAGGCUCUCAGUCCCUUGUUCUAGCCACUAGACAAACCAGCACCUUAGGUUCCUGUGAUCUGUAACCACAUCUUGUUAACCUGGGUGCAACUCACAAUGAGGCAGGCAGUUUAAAGGAAGCUGCAAAAUGCAGCCCAUCUGAAGCCAAACAGCUUUUCAGACUCACAGUUUUGUAUUUAUGUCUUAAAGCUCAGAGAGAAAGAGACACACGCAUGGUCCACUCUACAAGCAACAGCACAGAUUACACUUACAUGCAAGGGAUGAAACUGUCCAGCUCCAAUCUGGCACAGAGAAAAGGAGUGAGAAAAGAGUGGAGAGUACAGAGGCAGGGUCUAGUCCUUUCCUGGCUAGGUCACCUGGUCAGGAGAGAAAAGCAAGGAGAGGAGAGAGAUAUAGACCUCCAGGUGUGGGGACAGCUACACGGACAGAUACUGUACGGGGAAACUAGCAGCAGCCAUGGAAGACAGUAACAAAUGAUAAUAGACCACACACACACACACACACCUUGCAACAUGCUCCUUCCCCACCCCUCAGAAGGCCCUCCCCCCAACACACAUUGCCAGAGGACUGCUUCAACUAUUCCUUUAGGCUAAACAAGUUCCCUACAAACAGACCAGCCCAAUAGUCUAUAGGCAGUGAAAAUGCAAUCAUGAGUGGGAUUCAGGCUUAGUUCCCAAACAGCUAGGGUGGAACAAACAUCUGUGUUACUGUCUAGCUACCCCUUCUGGUGGAGGAUCAAACAGCACUGCCUGGCUCUGAAGGAAGCUGCUUCCAGCCAUGACACAAAUGGGUAAAAAUGGGGAGCAGGAUCCAAGAUAAUUGAAGUACUCCAGCCUUCAGCCACUGGCCUGAAAACCACUGAUUCAAUAGGGAGGAAUUUGACAGCAAGCUACUCAGGGCCUGUUACUAGUCAAAUGCCUGUGAAUUUGUCUCUUCCACCCACCCUGCUGCCUGGAAAUCCUCAACUACAGGCAGCAGGGGAAAAGAAACUGUGCUAGAAACCCACGGAUUGUGUCUGGAACAAGCAUCCCUCUUCACAGAGCACUUACCUAAAAACCACAGCUUGAAAUUUUCCUUCUGUUCCUUGGAUGUCCAUCAGAGCCAGAAGGAGAUAGUUCAGGCUGCCUCCCUGUCAUGUCUUUCAAGGCAUAUGGAAGGACUUUGCAUCACUGUUACAAAGGAUCAUGUCUUUGGUGAUACAGAGUCGCUCCUCCAUAAGCAGACCUGGCAAAAUCCUGGGAACUCCAGUAUAACCCCAAAAAGCAGCACUAGCAUCAGAGUCCAGGCCAGUAACAGCUCAUCUAGGCUUUGAUGUGCUGGGGACAGGACAGCAGCUCCAAAAGGCAAGCUCCAAGGCCUUUUAUUUUUGUUCUAGGCGUUGGCUGGGGUGGCAGACAGGCCAAGAAAUGCUUAUCUUUGAGUGAAGUGGUGCGACAGGCACGAGCUCCAAGCGGGAGAGCACAGUAUGCUCCUAGGACAAACACUAACUGAAUUACACUUAUACGUACCUGCUCUCUGAGGCAACUGGGCCUGCAGCAGAGAGCGGCAUCUUUCCCUCUAACAGGAAGAGCUGCCGUCACACCCUUAUCCAUCAGGAAUUCAUUCUAACCAGAACAUUCUGCACGCUGAAACGGGACACUAUAAACAGAGUCCCACUGGCCCACUGUCAGCAGGUCCCACUACAUUUCCAGUAGCCUCCCUUGCCAACCUCACCUGGAUUACCUUGUCGCACUGUUGGGAUAUGCACCGACAGCCCUAGUCCUGGGUUAUUACUGUAGUGAGCUCCAGAUAUUGAGCUCACAUCACCCUAGAUGUCGGUAAGGUUGGAUUUUGUAACAUGGACAAUUUCCCCAAGAUAUUUAGAUGCUCCUAAUGGCAGCUCCAGAUUAAACCAGGGAGCACAACCUUCCCCGCCUCGUACUUCAUAGAGAGUGAUUGGUCUUCAAGCUGCCACAAGAGGGAAGGCAAAAGCCUUGAUCAAGUUACCAGAACAAGCAGAGCAACACACAAACUGAACUGCAUGAUGUCAUUAAAGCAUUUGAACAGGCCAGACAGCAUUAUUCACUUGCAUGGCCAGACCAUCAAAAAGCAUGUGCCUCCCGAUGUAAACACUUGGGCCACGUGGGUGCUAGAGCCUGCCAAGCCUAACUGACCAGGACAGCCCUAGAUGAAGUUAAUCACUCACAGAAGCAGCAAACCUGCUACCGUCACCUUGGAGCCAGCACUGGCCUCGCUGAACAAUGCAGACAUCUCCCUCUGAUUUUCAAACAGAUGCCCUGAUCCCCUCAGCGCUUAUGAGAGAGAGAGGAGCCAGCCCAGCCACAGGAGCCCUUACCUUUCCUCGCAACAAGGCCUUGUAGGCAAUGCGAAUGAUGAGACAGGACCAGAUGAUGUGCAGAACCUGCAGGGUUACCAACAGUCCAUUGAACAGCCACCAUGAAGGAUAAGGGCCAAUCAGCUCCCAGCUCUCAAACAAGGUAGUAUUCAAGAUCCUAAAAGAAAAUCAAGGAGCUUGUUGGAUUGGCUGCUUUGCUGCUUGACUAGGAUUCCCAGUUUCCAACUCUGAACUGAGCUGACUGGGCAGAUACACAAUAGGUUUCUGUCCCAUUUAAGCUUCUAUUGCUUUGCUCUUUUCAUAGUGUGAUGCCCCUGAUCUACUGUCCCUUGCACAGUAGAGAAAGGCCUGAAGCUGGACUUGGGUUGAAGUCCCUUGAACUAAGCAGCAAUAGGAGAAGAUGUGGAGACUCUCAGAAUUUAGGCUAAAUAUAAAAAUCCACUCUCCACCCUCUUCUCCAGGGUACGAUCAGCAUUCACAAUGGCAUCAGAGGGAGAGAUGGCAAUUGCUUGGAUCACCAAUACUGUUUUGGAUGUAUACAUGGUGUUGAGUGGAGAGAUGAGCCUUAUUCACAUGCACAGAUGAUUUUGACCACAUGUAAAGGUCAGGAAUGCCACCUGGGGGCUUUGAAGAAUUUUUGACAGCGAAGCUGCUGUUCCCUUACUCUUAGCCAUUUCCUCUGUCCCUUCUCCCAAGUCAAAGGAAUUGAAAACCAACUAAUGGGUCAAAACCAGGUGCCUCCUUGAAGAUGGCUAUGGAAUUGUUCUCUUCACUGGGAUUUAUUGGCAGUACUUAAAGAAUUUAAUAAAGCAGUUUGAUUGUUUAUAAAGUAGUCACUAGGGUAGAUUGCAGAGAGAUUUUUUAAAAGAUCAAUGCUUUCAGCAUUUAUUGAAAAAGUGAGAAAUUAACUUUCAGGAAGGGAAUCCAGAGCCUUAGUUGCAGUUAAAAAAUAAUGGUUACCUAGGCAGCAGCUUGUGGUGGAGUCAGCAUGCAGUUUCAUGUCAUUAUACCACUGAUCAGGGAAGGGAACCUGUACUGAGUGGAAUAGCAUAGCAGCUUCAGAUGCAACUGGAGACUCACAAGUUCUCCCUCUGAAGCUGAGGAAUUACAUUACAGCCAGUGGAAACCACAUUCAAGAUUUAUAAGACACAUUGAGUGACAGGGUGGUGCCAGAGAGCACAUUGCAUCAUGGCAGACAAUGGAGUGAAGAGCAGAGAGAGGAUUGCCUCAUUUGUCAGUGGAAAGCAGUAACACCCGCCCGUCUGAAGAGAGCAUCAUUUGUGGCAGGCAGAGGGGACCGACAUUUUCCCUAUCUAGACCCUUUUAUAUUUGUUUGGAGCUAUACAAAAAUAAAAAGGGAUGCUUAUCCAAGGGCCCUUGGUGCCUCUGCCACGGGGACAAAACUAAAACUAAAUAAGAGCUUAUCCUACCCCAGAAAUACAUCCCAAAGAGACGGAAAGUAGGCCUCUGCUAUUUACAAAAUAAGGAUGUAGGACGAUGACAAACCCAGGUGUAGCAGACCUUACAAGACACCCUCUCAAGGAAAACAAGACGUGGAUAAAUACAAUGAUCAGCAACAAGAUCCCACCAAGCCUGACUUUGUCCACGUGGAGGGGAGGGGAAUCUCAUUACGGAAUGAUUAAUUACAAAAAUCUUAGCUAAGAUUUCUAAAUCCAAAAAUACCCCAAUACCUAUUUCAGGCUCUAUGCAGCUAGAACAGGAGUCAGGGCAGACAAUCUUCUGAGACCAGCAGGAGAGGAGCUAGGUACUUCGGAUGACUAUAAAGAAGAGCGUCACAAACAGAACCUUGCCUCAGGGAGGAUAUGCCUCACUGGCAUCUCAACUUUUACAAGAUCUUAUCAAAAGACAUUAAACCACCUUUGGUUCUGUGGGUUCGUCUACACCGGGACACUCAGGAAAGUUUGGACAAAUUUAUUAAUGAUAUGAAGUUAAUGCACACUAAAUUGCUGGGUGAAUGCUCUCAGUCGGAAGUAAAGUGGCCUUUACUGAAGCUUAACCCUCCAAAUCCACAAAUGGUUUAGGGGUGCUUUAACGUCAAACCUUUAUUUUAUUCAUCUUAGUUCCCUGUGUAGACAAGCCUGAUCUGUAUAAUGUCUGGGAGUUACUGGCUGGGAGAGUAGGCUGCAGUUGGGGGUGGCAUUCAGCUGCACUUUUUGACUCUGUGCUCACACUAGGGGUGCUCCUACUCUAAGUACAUGACAAAACAUGAAGAAACCACUCUGACAAAACCCCAGAGCUCUGCUCCUAAGCAACAUUUAGGAGGGCUGCAGCUUCAUGCUGCCCUGAGGGGCUGCCUGUAAUGAGCGAGAGGAUCUCUAAUACAAAGACUGCCUUUAGAGGAGGGAAGGAACAAAUACUUGACUCUAUUCAGAAAGAUCCAGGUACUUACCAGAAAGGGUAAAUACCCAGUCGAGUGACUAUGAACACAACACCAAAGAGUAUGAAGGUGGCAUCACACAGGCGCUGGUACUUAGCAUAAUUGGCCAGCUUUGCAGCCUGAGAAAAACACAAAAGUGUUAAAACAGCAUUCACCAGACACAAUCAUUUGAUCAUAUGGAAAACAGUGCUGGAGCACUCAAGCCACUAAGUCACCAAGGAGUUUGGAACAUUUAAGGACUAUUAUCAACUUGGGAGAUGUCCUGGAGGAAAGCCAACAUAGUGGAAUCAGCAGUGUGUGUUUAUGGGACAUCCAGCCUGGAUUGUGUGUGGAGGGUGAGGGGUGAAACAGGAGAGGCUAGGUUUUAUCCUCUUGCCUCAAGAGUGUGCUCCUUUGUCAUUAGGGAUGCAAAGCUCAGACAGGAAGCAGCAGGCAAACUUACCUCUAAGAGGAAGUCUGAGGCAUCAUGUAGACAUAGCACCAGAGUUCCCACCCGCAACAUGUUAUUCAUAUAGGAGAAUGUAAUGAGUCCAAUUGUAGCCAAGUGAUGGACAAACAUGAUCAGGAAAUCCUGAAAGGGGAAGAUGAAAUGUGAGGGAUCUUUGGCAGCCAAAUGAUCACAGAGACUUAUAACAGGGGCACCACGACUGACAAAAAAAGGGCCAUAUGGUUAUUUUAGGUCAGACUCUCAAGCUCCUUGUUUGCAAAAAGCAGAGCAGAUUUCAGCCACAAUCAUCUUUACUUGGGAGGUGCAGACCACAGACACUACAGGUCCCAGUAUGCCGCAUCGUGAUUAACAGUUUUGCUUCAAUCAAGAUGGAACAUUGCAUGCUGGGGCCUACGGUAGUCUCCUUGGGCUGCAGCUCCGUAGCAAAGAUAAGUACAUCUGCAGGCCUCACUGUAAAACUCCAGAGGCCAACAUCUGACCUGCACUUUGACUCUCCCUGCUUUGGGAUGACUGCAUUGCUAGCAUAUGUCUACACGGCAAGCAGCAGCAAGUAUCAGAGCCUGGGUCUACAGACUUGAGAUGUGGCACUAUAAAUAGCUCUGUAGACAUUUAGGCUUGAGCCCUGAAAUCCAAGGAGGCGGGUGGGCUUCAGAGGCCGAGCUUCAGCCCAAGACAAAAUACCUACAUGGCUGUUUUUACUGCCAUAGUCUGUAGACUUGAUGCUACAGGUUUCUGAUUGCCAUGUAGAUGUAUCCCUAAGGUCUACUCUAGAGAUCACUGACAUGAGUAAUAAGAAAUAGACCUGCUAUUACUGCUAUCAAGUGGGAAAAGCCCACCAGAAGUAAGGCAAGCAGAGGCCAUGCGUGGUCCAUGCAUCAGGGCAUGCCUGGCAAUACAGUAACAGCAAAUCAGUCCAUUAAAAUUCUACAGCACAUACAAUUUUCUGACAUAGCCCCCCAAUAUCCACGUCCUGCAUUUGCAUCUUUGUUAAGGCAUUUCAAGCGGGGAAUUAAUCAACUUUUGUAGUGCUGAAUUCUUUAUUAAAAUGAAUAGAAAACAAUGCCCCAAUUGCUCCUCUCUCUCCAUUUCUGCGGCUGCAAGAUCUACCAUAGCUUGCUUGACUUUGUAUUUCAGGACAGAACAAAUCCAGAAAUUACAGACUAAUUUUUUUUUUUUUUUUGGGGGGGGGGGGGGGACAAAGUCAGUACAAGAAUUGGGACAAUUUUCUACUUUACACUUUAUAGAGCAAGAGUAAUAAACUGCUGGUUUCCUCUGAACUGUCGGUUUGUUUUCCAAGGACAAACACUAAGCCAAUGGCUAAAACUCGGCAGAGUGGAAUUAGAUUUUAGUGAUCAUGACCAGCCAUCAUUCUGCUAUUCACAUGGAUGAAAAGUCACUUUCCAAAUUCAUUUUUUUAAAUCAUUGCUACCGUCUUUGCCCCAUGCUCAUCCUGUUCAGCGAGGCAUUCAGUUGUAAAGAGAAGACUGGAACUCUUGUCCUUGAUUUCUAAGGUAGAAAUAAUUCCCACAUCUUUUGGAGGUGGUGGAAUCUCCUUCCUUAGAAGUUUUUAAGGUCAGGCUUGACAAAGCCCUGGCUGGGAUGAUUUAAUUGGGGAUCGGUCCUGCUUUGAGCAGGGGGUGGUACUAGAUGACCUCCUGAGGUCCCUUCCAGCCCUGAUAGUCCAUGAUUCUAUGAUUGCUACUCAACUGCAAGUGAAUGUCACAGCUCCUGGAAACGCCAGUUAGCACCAACUUUUAUCCAAUUGACCUGCUUUGACACUAAGGUACCCAUGAGUACUUGCUCUGAAUUUACAAUAUGGAGAUUUGACUGAUUAUAUAUAUACACACCUCAUUUGGGACUGUCACCGUUUUAUGGAUUCUAAUGACCAGUCAAUGUAAAUAUAGUAGCCCAUGAGACCUUUUAUUAUCCAAAGCUCUCAAAGCAUUUUACAUACAUUAAUGAGCAUAGCUUCACACCACCCAUAUUAUCCAUAUCACGUUAAAGAUGAGGAAAAUGAAGUUCAGAGGUAAAACACCUCGCCCAAUGAGACACACAUUAGUCAGUGGCAGAGCUAGGAAUAGAUCUAUCUGUCCUGGGUUUUAACCUCCACACAAUAAUUUCUCUCACUUAGCCAUGAAACCUGGGAUUUCCCAAAUCAACCUUAACAAGGCACUUUUGUAUAAGCCCUUUCAUGGAUCAAGACCAGGUUUAGUUAAACAUGAUUGCUACUAAAUCAAACUUCACUGUUUAAACAAGUUACGCAAAAAGGCUUGGUUCCUUCAAGUAAAUAUCUUCUCAUUUGUUUCUCUAAUCAACAAUCCUUGUACUUGUGGAACCUUCUGUGGCUCCAUUUUAAACAUUUAUAGUACCACUGUUUACAUUCUAUAAUUUUAAGGAUUUGAAAAACAGUGUCAGGAAAGUUUAAAGUUGAGAUAUGAUUUUUUUCAGACUCUUGUCUCCCUGCCUGAAUUUCAUAUUGCCCCAAGACCAAACUCAGUGAAAGUGGAUAGGGAUGAGGAAUCCAAGUAUUUCUUGGGGCUCUCCCUGAGUUCUUCAGUUGAAUUAAAGUAACACCCAGGGACAUGCUGAAGACUAGAAGACACUCACUACAAUGACCUGUGUGCCAUCACAAUAGGUUGGGAAUGUACUCCAGGAGCUCAAGAUUAUUCUUGCACUGUCCCUCAUUUCAACAUUACCUGGCUGUCAGCUUUUCUUCCUCUGGGACACAGGCCAUUUGUCCCACUGCUGUCCCAUCUGCGCCAGCACUGCCAGAUAAGCAUGGUACGUAGGGACACUGGUCCCAUGCUAUACUCAUCUCUUCCCUACUUCAGUACAGAUCAUUUUCACUCCCGCACCGCCGAACAGCAUUGGAGCUGUUCGUUCACAUCCUUCAUUCUUCCCCCUUUCCCUAGCCACCAGACUUAACAUUAAGACUGAACUUCGCACUGUUGCCUGCAGCUGUGUACCUCUAAGCUCCAGGUUCAUUUGUUAUUUGGUUCUCCCCUUAGCAUUUGCUUACCCUACAAUGUGGGAGUCACCUACCAAUUUAAUCACAGUUGAAUCUGCACUAAGCAUGGACCAGUCCCAGCCGAGCCCUUUGAAAGGGACUGUCUUCCCUUUCCUGGUGAUGAGGAGACAGUCGCUUGGUGACAAGAUGCCAGUAUGGGGCAAGUGCACAUUCUGAACACUGAAUGGCCUGGGACACAUGGCUUCUCUCAUUACAUGCCAAAGAAAUGAUUAUGCAGAGAUCAGAUGCCUCAGCAAGCUCCUCACUUGUCCAGGACAUGAAGCAAGUUCUGAACAUUACCAGCAAGGACAGCACUACUUGAAAUCCUGAGCUGUGCAAUUCAGAUACUAAGCAUCAGAAUCAAGAAAGGAAGAGUCUGCGUGCUAACCUAGAGCCAGACUUCUUCAUGGGGGUUCAGGGAAGAGCAGCCAAGCAACUUCCCAAUCUGUUCAACAAGACCUAGCUGCACAGAGGGAAAGACAGCCACUUGCGGGGCGGUUAACAGCAAGUAUCUCCGACCAAAAGAACUGACAGUUCAGAGGCCCGUAGAAACAAAAGUGUUUGCAACCUAAGAGCUGUGGCCUCCCAUUGGAGUAGAAGAACAAGGAGGGGAACCUGAUUGGCUGUCUACAAUUAUCUGAGCUGAACGAAGGGCAAAAAGAAAACUGCAAUUAAUGAGUCAUGUCUUCACAACACACAAGAGUCCUGACUAGGAAGCAUAAGGAAGAUCUGAGGCCACUGAACUCUUGCUAUUUUAGUCCCAUAUUAUGUCACUCGGAGCAAGCAGUGAAAGAAAAAAACACACAAAACUGAACUCACCGACCAGAUAAAUUUGAGUCCAUAAGAAAAUAUACUUAAAUAAAACGUAAACCUCCACCUGGGAAUGGAAAUGAGAAAGGGAAAAAAUUAAAUGUUUGAAAUUAAAUCAGCAUUGUAUGGUUUAUGUUUGUGUAGCAAAAGCUGGAAUCAUUAUAAAUGGAACCAAAUUUGGCAGUUACAGGAGUGGAGUUUUGUGCAAUCCUCCAUACAUGGCAAAUUGACUGAUAUUGCCUUUUGGAACAUCAUCUGUCCAUCAAAAUAAAAAUCAUUAUAUAAGAAUCAAACAAACAGCACAGCUCCAAAAAAAAAGUCUACAGAUUGGCUUGGAAAUACAUACCAAGGUUAAUGCCAAGUUAUACAUCUCAGUAUGUACAUAUGCUAAGGCAACAACUCUGAAGAAACCAUUGUGAUCUACUGCGACAUAUAUGACAAUACCCUGGACAAACCUUAUGGAAUUAGAGAUUAACAUGAUUGAAUUAAUUUCAAUACUUUGGGGUUCACUGUAUUUAAAAUUAAAUUAUGUAUGUGUUAUUGUGGAAUUGUAUGCAACUUCUCUAGGGGACUGACUAAUGAAAUCUCUGGGAAGGGUUAGGAACUUCACACACAUUGUCCCAGGAAGUGUCUGAAGUGGAAUUCCUAGGAGGUACUGGGGAGAAGGGGAUUGCACACCCUGAUGUACAGACUCAGCCUUGGAAGCUUCGCCCCGAGGGAAGGGACUUUGUGUCUGAUGAUCCCUUGUUACAGGAGGACAAGUCAAAGACCCAGUCUGGAUUCUCCAGGGACUAACAGACAAAACACAGAUUUUUCAAUAAAGAGCCUGAACUGAACUGACUCAGGGCCUUCCUUGUGAUCCAAAAACUGGACAUGACCUGUGGAACCUAGGGAAGAAUUGGAAGGACUUGGCCUGCUGAGGCCCCAUAAGACUGAGUGCUAGUUCUGAGUUAAAGCUGUUAUGAACUUAUGACCACAAAAGAGAGAGCCCUUUGGGGUCUGAAGGGCUCACCUGCCAGACACCAUGUUAGAGCCAGUUGGGGUGAUCUCUGGUAAGCUUAUUAGCAUGUCUGUAGGUACUUUUAUUGGCUUUAAUGUUUUCACUGUAGUGCUUUUACCCUAAGAAU